rnacentral:rRNA from 1 species
UACGUAGGGUGCAAGCGUUAAUCGGACUUACUGGGCGUAAAGCGUGCGCAGGCGGUUUUAUAAGUCAGCUGUGAAAUCCCCGGGCUUAACCUGGGAAUGGCAGUUGAGACUGUAAGGCUAGAGUGUGUUAGAGGGGGGUAGAAUUCCACGUGUAGCAGUGAAAUGCGUAGAGAUGUGGAGGAACACGGAUGGCGAAGGCAGCCCCCUGGGAUAACACUGACGCUCAUGCACGAAAGCGUGGGGAGCAAACAGG